rnacentral:rRNA from 1 species
UACGUAGGGUCCGAGCGUUGUCCGGAGUUAUUGGGCGUAAAGGGCUCGUAGGCGGUUCGUCACGUCGGGAGUGAAAACUCGGGGCUUAACCCCGAGCCUGCUUCCGAUACGGGCAGACUAGAGGUAGGCAGGGGAGAGCGGAACUCCUGGUGUAGCGGUGGAAUGCGCAGAUAUCAGGAGGAACACCGGUGGCGAAGGCGGUUCUCUGGGCAUUACCUGACGCUGAGGAGCGAAAGUGUGGGGAGCGAACAGG